rnacentral:tRNA from 2 species
GGUGGGGUGACCGAAUGGCAGGUUGCGGCCCGCAAGGCCGUGUAUGCAGGUUCGACUCCUGCACCCACCU